rnacentral:rRNA from 1 species
GUUAUAUGGUCAAGUGAAGAAGCGCAUACGGUGGAUGCCUUGGCAGUCAGAGGCGAUGAAAGACGUGGUAGCCUGCGAAAAGCUUCGGGGAGUCGGCAAACAGACUUUGAUCCGGAGAUGUCUGAAUGGGGGAACCCAGCCAUCAUAAGAUGGUUAUCUUACGCUGAAUACAUAGGCGUAAGAGGCGAACCAGGGGAACUGAAACAUCUAAGUACCCUGAGGAAAAGAAAUCAACCGAGAUUCCCUUAGUAGUGGCGAGCGAACGGGGACUAGCCCUUAAGUGGCUUUGAGAUUAGCGGAACGCUCUGGAAAGUGCGGCCAUAGUGGGUGAUAGCCCUGUACGCGAAAAUCUCUUAGUCAUGAAAUCGAGUAGGACGGAGCACGAGAAACUUUGUCUGAAUAUGGGGGGACCAUCCUCCAAGGCUAAAUACUACUGACUGACCGAUAGUGAACUAGUACCGUGAGGGAAAGGCGAAAAGAACCCCGGAGAGGGGAGUGAAAUAGAUCCUGAAACCGUAUGCGUACAAGCAGUGGGAGCCCACUUUGUUGGGUGACUGCGUACCUUUUGUAUAAUGGGUCAGCGACUUAUUUUCAGUGGCGAGCUUAACCGAAUAGGGGAGGCGUAGCGAAAGCGAGUCUUAAUAGGGCGUCUAGUCGCUGGGAAUAGACCCGAAACCGGGCGAUCUAUCCAUGGGCAGGUUGAAGGUUGGGUAACACUAACUGGAGGACCGAACCGACUACCGUUGAAAAGUUAGCGGAUGACCUGUGGAUCGGAGUGAAAGGCUAAUCAAGCUCGGAGAUAGCUGGUUCUCCUCGAAAGCUAUUUAGGUAGCGCCUCAUGUAUCACUGUAGGGGGUAGAGCACUGUUUCGGCUAGGGGGAGAAAGGCUAAUCAAGCUCGGAGAUAGCUGGUUCUCCUCGAAAGCUAUUUAGGUAGCGCCUCAUGUAUCACUGUAGGGGGUAGAGCACUGUUUCGGCUAGGGGGUCAUCCCGACUUACCAAACCGAUGCAAACUCCGAAUACCUACAAGUGCCGAGCAUGGGAGACACACGGCGGGUGCUAACGUCCGUCGUGAAAAGGGAAACAACCCAGACCGUCAGCUAAGGUCCCAAAGUUAUGGUUAAGUGGGAAACGAUGUGGGAAGGCUUAGACAGCUAGGAGGUUGGCUUAGAAGCAGCCACCCUUUAAAGAAAGCGUAAUAGCUCACUAGUCGAGUCGGCCUGCGCGGAAGAUGUAACGGGGCUCAAACCAUACACCGAAGCUACGGGUAUCACCUUCGGGUGAUGCGGUAGAGGAGCGUUCUGUAAGCCUGUGAAGGCGAGUUGAGAAGCUUGCUGGAGGUAUCAGAAGUGCGAAUGCUGACAUGAGUAACGACAAUGGGUGUGAAAAACACCCACGCCGAAAGACCAAGGUUUCCUGCGCAACGUUAAUCGACGCAGGGUUAGUCGGUCCCUAAGGCGAGGCUGAAAAGCGUAGUCGAUGGAAAACAGGUUAAUAUUCCUGUACUUCUGGUUAUUGCGAUGGAGGGACGGAGAAGGCUAGGCCAGCUUGGCGUUGGUUGUCCAAGUUUAAGGUGGUAGGCUGGAAUCUUAGGUAAAUCCGGGAUUCUAAGGCCGAGAGCUGAUGACGAGUUACCCUCUGGGUGACGAAGUGGUUGAUGCCAUGCUUCCAAGAAAAGCUUCUAAGCUUCAGGUAACCAGGAACCGUACCCCAAACCGACACAGGUGGUUGGGUAGAGAAUACCAAGGCGCUUGAGAGAACUCGGGUGAAGGAACUAGGCAAAAUGGCACCGUAACUUCGGGAGAAGGUGCGCCGGUGAGGGUGAAGGACUUGCUCCGUAAGCUCAUGCCGGUCGAAGAUACCAGGCCGCUGCGACUGUUUAUUAAAAACACAGCACUCUGCAAACACGAAAGUGGACGUAUAGGGUGUGACGCCUGCCCGGUGCCGGAAGGUUAAUUGAUGGGGUUAGCUAACGCGAAGCUCUUGAUCGAAGCCCCGGUAAACGGCGGCCGUAACUAUAACGGUCCUAAGGUAGCGAAAUUCCUUGUCGGGUAAGUUCCGACCUGCACGAAUGGCGUAACGAUGGCGGCGCUGUCUCCACCCGAGACUCAGUGAAAUUGAAAUCGCUGUGAAGAUGCAGUGUAUCCGCGGCUAGACGGAAAGACCCCGUGAACCUUUACUAUAGCUUUGCACUGGACUUUGAAUUUGCUUGUGUAGGAUAGGUGGGAGGCUUUGAAGCGUGGACGCCAGUUCGCGUGGAGCCAACCUUGAAAUACCACCCUGGCAACUUUGAGGUUCUAACUCAGGUCCGUUAUCCGGAUCGAGGACAGUGUAUGGUGGGUAGUUUGACUGGGGCGGUCUCCUCCUAAAGAGUAACGGAGGAGUACGAAGGUGCGCUCAGACCGGUCGGAAAUCGGUCGUAGAGUAUAAAGGCAAAAGCGCGCUUGACUGCGAGACAGACACGUCGAGCAGGUACGAAAGUAGGUCUUAGUGAUCCGGUGGUUCUGUAUGGAAGGGCCAUCGCUCAACGGAUAAAAGGUACUCCGGGGAUAACAGGCUGAUACCGCCCAAGAGUUCAUAUCGACGGCGGUGUUUGGCACCUCGAUGUCGGCUCAUCACAUCCUGGGGCUGAAGCCGGUCCCAAGGGUAUGGCUGUUCGCCAUUUAAAGUGGUACGCGAGCUGGGUUUAGAACGUCGUGAGACAGUUCGGUCCCUAUCUGCCGUGGACGUUUGAGAUUUGAGAGGGGCUGCUCCUAGUACGAGAGGACCGGAGUGGACGAACCUCUGGUGUUCCGGUUGUCACGCCAGUGGCAUUGCCGGGUAGCUAUGUUCGGAAUAGAUAACCGCUGAAAGCAUCUAAGCGGGAAACUAGCCUCAAGAUGAGAUCUCACUGGAACCUUGAGUUCCCUGAAGGGCCGUCGAAGACUACGACGUUGAUAGGUUGGGUGUGUAAGCGCUGUGAGGCGUUGAGCUAACCAAUACUAAUUGCCCGUGAGGCUUGACCAUAUAACACCCAAGCAAUU